rnacentral:rRNA from 1 species
AUUGAACGCUGGCGGCAGGCCUAACACAUGCAAGUCGAGCGGGGUUUUCGGACCUAGCGGCGGACGGGUGAGUAAUGCGUAGGAAGCUACCCGAUAGAGGGGGAUACCAGUUGGAAACGACUGUUAAUACCGCAUAAUGUCUACGGACCAAAGUGUGGGACCUUCGGGCCACAUGCUAUCGGAUGCGCCUACGUGGGAUUAGCUAGUUGGUGAGGUAAUGGCUCACCAAGGCGACGAUCCCUAGCUGGUUUGAGAGGAUGAUCAGCCACACUGGAACUGAGACACGGUCCAGACUCCUACGGGAGGCAGCAGUGGGGAAUAUUGGACAAUGGGCGCAAGCCUGAUCCAGCCAUGCCGCGUGUGUGAAGAAGGCCUUCGGGUUGUAAAGCACUUUCAGCGAGGAGGAAGGGGUGAGUGUUAAUAGUACUCGUCUUUGACGUUACUCGCAGAAGAAGCACCAGCUAACUCUGUGCCAGCCGCCGCAGUAAGAC